rnacentral:rRNA from 1 species
AACGCUUCUUUCCUCCCGAGUGCUUGCACUCAAUUGGAAAGAGGAGUGGCGGACGGGUGAGUAACACGUGGGUAACCUACCCAUCAGAGGGGGAUAACACUUGGAAACAGGUGCUAAUACCGCAUAACAGUUUAUGCCGCAUGGCAUAAGAGUGAAAGGCGCUUUCGGGUGUCGCUGAUGGAUGGACCCGCGGUGCAUUAGCUAGUUGGUGAGGUAACGGCUCACCAAGGCCACGAUGCAUAGCCGACCUGAGAGGGUGAUCGGCCACACUGGGACUGAGACACGGCCCAGACUCCUACGGGAGGCAGCAGUAGGGAAUCUUCGGCAAUGGACGAAAGUCUGACCGAGCAACGCCGCGUGAGUGAAGAAGGUUUUCGGAUCGUAAAACUCUGUUGUUAGAGAAGAACAAGGACGUUAGUAACUGAACGUCCCCUGACGGUAUCUAACCAGAAAGCCACGGCUAACUACGUGCCAGCAGCCGCGGUAAUACGUAGGUGGCAAGCGUUGUCCGGAUUUAUUGGGCGUAAAGCGAGCGCAGGCGGUUUCUUAAGUCUGAUGUGAAAGCCCCCGGCUCAACCGGGGAGGGUCAUUGGAAACUGGGAGACUUGAGUGCAGAAGAGGAGAGUGGAAUUCCAUGUGUAGCGGUGAAAUGCGUAGAUAUAUGGAGGAACACCAGUGGCGAAGGCGGCUCUCUGGUCUGUAACUGACGCUGAGGCUCGAAAGCGUGGGGAGCAAACAGGAUUAGAUACCCUGGUAGUCCACGCCGUAAACGAUGAGUGCUAAGUGUUGGAGGGUUUCCGCCCUUCAGUGCUGCAGCAAACGCAUUAAGCACUCCGCCUGGGGAGUACGACCGCAAGGUUGAAACUCAAAGGAAUUGACG